rnacentral:lncRNA from 1 species
CUAAAUAUUGGAAAUUUUUCCUACGUCUGAUGUCACAUUAUUUUUUCUUCUUUAAUAGUGCUUUUUUACCCUUUGCAUUGCCUGCCUUUCUCCAAGACUAAUGCCACCUGCAGCAGCUUUACCAUGAUGACAUUUCUUAGAAGGUGUUAACACUGUCCAAUAUAUCUAGCUACAACCAGCUCUCUGUAUGUACUGCUGGUCAUGGCUUUUCCUGGUGUGUGACAAUCCAGGCUUUCUCAUUGGAGAACCGUCAAGAAUCUACUUCUCUGAAUGUUUAUGAACACAUGGUGGAACAGCUCCAGCAAGAGAUUGAGCAAGAGCUUCCCCGUGGAAAGAAAACAUGCCCUGGAUCAGGUUGCUCAGCCACGCCAUCUCAGCUCUUUAUGACUCACUGAGCUGCAGGGCUGUUUAGGACUGGAGCAGUGGUUUCCAAAGCGAGCACUGGGGGCUCUUGACCAGAAGGUGUUCAGAAGGGAGCUGUUCUAGCAGAAGACAUUAGGACACACCUGCCUGAAGUCUAGCAAUUAGACUGCYUUCAUCACUUGGAAAUGACAGAGUGUAGGUAACAAAGAGCGAGUCUCUGGCAUACCAAUUAAGUGACGUUACCAGUAUUUCUGCCCCUCUGAAAAAUUUAUUUAUGAAAGUGGAGCAACUCCAAUGAGAACACAAGGGGGAUACAACAUACUGCAUAGAUAGUUCAGUACUGACCUGAAAACUGACUCCAGUUCAAGUUCUCAUCGACUGGAUUUAAGACCAGUUUCAUAAGGAAAUAAGCAACUGAAUGUCCAGGUUGCUGAAUGUUCUCUCAGGAUCUCCUGUUCUUAAUUUCUGCAAAAAUAUGUAAAAACAUUGAGGGCCAUUGAUUUCAAAGCAGUUUCCUCUGCAACUGCAUAUUAUAAGGCUGUUACGGAAAGGCUGCUCUCGACUUUUAGCUGAAAUCCCACAGCAGAACUCUUAGGGAAAAGAUUAACUGUUCUUUCUUUCAACAGGGAAUCCUGCCUCUCUGCUUUAGGGGACGUGAAUCAAGGCUCCGAAUAGCGCUCCCCAGAAGUGUCUUUGAUUAGUCAUGGAGGGAAAGCAGGGAUGAUCUUGUCUCCAGAGGCAAAGGUGAGAAGGCAGAAGUGCACCCUCUUUGGUCUCAGUGGAAAUACUUUUUAAUAGGCAAUG